CAGCGCCAAACCCUAGCCCUCUCUCCCAUCUACGCCGCCGCCACCUACCUCCCUCCAUCCUCUUCUCUGUGAGCAACAAAACAGGGGAAAACCCCACUGCCACGACCGUCCUCUCCAUGGCGCCGCUGCUCCAGGGCUCCCCUUGCCACUCCGAGACCACCCACAGAACCGCCUCGGCGUCCUCUAUAUCGUCCCCAAAGGAAUCGAGCCGGGGUGCUCUUAAUCGUCUCCAAUUCGCCGAUUCCCUCUCUGAACUCCGGCGAGACAACCUUCAAUUCCGGCCACUCCGGCGACCCCCUGGACUCCGCGCCGCCACCAUUGGCCUCCCAAUGUUCAGCCGCAUCCCCGACGCCAGUUUCCCCGUCCUCGUUCGCCCUGAAUCGACGGAUUGAUGUCGGACCUGAUCUCCCUCCCGCCAUGGCUGCAGCCCUCCAAGCUCGUCCCAGUAUUUGUUGGGUCAAGUUGCUGCACGCCUUUCCCUUGACAUGAUCUGAACUGCAGCGCAGUGAUACGUUGAUGGGCUUCAAACCCAGAUCCAUCUGGCCUUCUUCUCUCCGGUGCGGAUCAGAUCCAGCCCACCAGCACCCUGUCGCUCGCGCGGCCCGAAGCCAACCAUCGCUGCUGCAUUUGCUUCUUCCCGGAUAGGAUCACGAAGUGGUGAUGUGAG